GGCCCUACGGGGCGCAGCAGGCGCGAAACCUCCACAAUGUGAGAAAUCGCGAUGGGGGGAUCCCAAGUGCCAUUCUUAACGGGAUGGCUUUUCAUUAGUGUAAAAAGCUUUUGGAAUAAGAGCUGGGCAAGACCGGUGCCAGCCGCCGCGGUAACACCGGCAGCUCUAGUGCUAGCAACUUUUAUUGGGCCUAAAGCGUCCGUAGCCGGUUUAAUAAGUCUCUGGUGAAAUCCUGUAGCUUAACUGUGGGAAUUGCUGGAGAUACUAUUAGACUUGAGACCGGGAGAGGUUGGAGGUACUCCCAGGGUAGAGGUGAAAUUCUGUAAUCCUGGGAGGACCGCCUGUUGCGAAGGCGUCUAACUGGAACGGUUCUGACGGUGAGGGACGAAAGUUAGGGGCGCGAACCGGAUUAGAUACCCGGGUAGUCCUAACUGUAAACGAUGCGGACUUGGUGUUGGGGUGGCUUUGAGCUGUCCCAGUGCCGAAGGGAAGCUGUUAAGUCCGCCGCCUGGGAAGUACGGUCGCAAGACUGAAACUUAA
rnacentral:rRNA from 1 species